rnacentral:rRNA from 1 species
GAUGAACGCUGGCGGCGUGCCUAACACAUGCAAGUCGAACGGAGUCCAGCCUUUAAGACCUUCGGGUCAAAGAGGGGAAGACUGAGUGGCGGACGGGUGAGUAACACGUGGGCAACCUGGCUCAUAGAGGGGGAUAACAGAGAGAAAUUUCUGCUAAUACCGCAUAAGCACACACUGCCGCAUGGCAGAGGGUGAAAAGAGAAUCGCUAUGAGAUGGACCCGCGUCUGAUUAGCCAGUUGGCAGGGUAAGAGCCUACCAAAGCGACGAUCAGUAGCCGAUCUGAGAGGAUGAACGGCCACAGUGGGACUGAGACACGGCCCAGACUCCUACGGGAGGCAGCAGUGGGGGAUAUUGCACAAUGGGGGGAACCCUGAUGCAGCGACGCCGCGUGAGUGAAGAAGUAUUUCGGUAUGUAAAGCUCUAUCAGCAGGGAAGAUAAUGACAGUACCUGAAUAAGAAGCCCCGGCUAACUACGUG